AGUGAGUGAGGGUGCCCGCAGCUAAUGCUAGGUCAGUGUCAGUGACUGUUCGCUUUCCGUCAAUCUGUGGGGUCCGGGUUACAUCUUGUUGUUUUGUUUUGUGCCUUGUCAGUGAUAAGGAAGGGUGAUCGGUUUUUUGAGCACUGAUGCACUGUUUGCAUUGCUGGUUUUCUGUGACCUGCCUGUUCCUGUGCAUUUUUCUUUAGGUUACUGGCCCUUUUCUUACUGAUCUCUUUGAACCACAAAUGGUUUCCUAAAGCUAAGCAAUGCAAACAGACGUGCUUCAGGAAGAAUGGCCUGAGAACUGUGAGCAGAAAGAACAUGAAGAAGGAUCAGCUCCCGGCAGUGCCAAUGGUGACCUGUUACGCCCAGGAUGCAGAGACCUGCUCCCAUCCGGACAAGAAGAAAGAGCCAGGUAAACUACAGAGUCACAAAUUUUCCUGGAUUUCCAAGGAGUUGAGGUUGUAAGACAACUGAAUAAACUAUAACCCAAAGGAAGAGAGGCCA
rnacentral:lncRNA from 1 species